CCUAGCUUAUCCCUUCCAUCAGGACUGGAGAACAGCCACCCAUAGAUGCCCCUUGACUCUGACUGACUUGACCUGUGAGUGGGGCCUUAUAUAGGUGGGAUUUGUGGUGAGACAAAGUUCUGGGCUUCUCUAAGACAGAGUUUGAUCCUGCUGCAACUGAUUUCAAAGCUACAGCACCAGGUACAAAGUCCAGAGAUGCAUAGCUCCCGAAUCGCCAGUCCACAGGCGCGGCAAACUGCUCCCAUGGCUACGAGGCAGGAGUGACCUUCAAUCCAGCGUUUGUGUUUGGGAAACUUAUUUGGCUGAUUUGAUUGUACCCUCGCAGCUGGUGUUCACGCGCUCAAGAGAUGGGUUCGUUAUCUUAUGUGCAUGUAUACUGCCUGGCUCUUCUAUGCGCAAGAAUGUAACCACUAAGAAGAGUUGUAAACAAAGUAAGGAGAGAAAUAAAAACCCCAGGAAAAGUUUUCCUGGGAGGCUUU